CCGCUCGUAGCGAAGCUGGAUAUCGCAACAGAUUCCGAUUCUGGAGGUCGGGGGUUCGAAUCCCUCCGAGCGGACCA
rnacentral:tRNA from 1 species